AAUCAACACUCCACUCAGACAAUGCCCAGACCUCCAGAAACCAUGUGUCAAGCUCGGAUUGCCUUAGACAGCUCACCCAGCUGGAACUCUUAUGGGACCUUGGCACCAGAGACCACAAAUUCCUCUUUGAAGUUUUCUAACAGCAACAAUGGUAUUUCUGACUUGGCUUUCUUGUAUUUCUCUCACGUUAACAAAAUUGGUUCAGCAUCUACCAUGGGCUACAUGCUGAGCUACAGAGUUUCGCUCUGUCGCCCAGGCUGGAGUGCAGUGGCGCGCGAUCUCGGUUCACUGCAAGCUCCACCUCCCGGGUUCACGCCAUUCUCCUGCCUCAGCCUCCUGAGUAGCUGGGACUACAGGCGCCCGCCACCACACCCAGGAACAAAACCCAUCAGAAGAUGUCAGAAGAUAAGGAUUUUUGUCCUGAUGCUACACUUACCAGCUGUCCCUCAGUGUUCUACUUCUUAAAAAAAGAGAGAUGGAUAAACAGAGGCAACCCGAGGAUAAAGGCCUUGCUCAGUGUCACACAUUUCAGUCACUAAAUAAGACACAAUGGAUGCCAGUAUUCUCAUCCCCUCACAAAUAAAGAGCCUUCAAGCUCUUGCAGUCAACAAGAACUUUUGGAAUGAUUUCACUGCCUGAAAAGGCAGAUACAUAGGUGACACCCACAAAUAGGAAGAAAAUCAACCUGAACCUGAGUGUGUGGGCUCACUGACUCUAAGCAGUAGAGACAGAAGAAAAAGUUUUAGCAAAGAAGGGUUCUGAAAGAAAAUAAAUAUAGCUCGUUAUCAAGUGCUGUUUUUACACAGUAAAACAUGGGCAAAAUUACUCUUCUUUAAGUAGUAAUUCUUAUCUCUUGAUUAAGUCACCUACUCAUUCAUUUAAUAAAUACAUACUGAUUGUU
rnacentral:lncRNA from 1 species